rnacentral:rRNA from 1 species
UACAGAGGAGCCAAGCGUUGUCCGGAUUGACUGGGCGUAAAGCGCACGCAGGCGGAUGCGCGCGUGGGGUGUGAAAUCUGGCCGCUUAACGGCCAGGCGCCAUCCCAUACGGCGCGUCUGGAGUGAUGCAGAGGUCGGUGGAAUUGCCGGUGUAGUGGUGAAAUGCGUAGAGAUCCGGAGGAACACCAGCGGCGAAGGCGGCAUCCUGGACUGGUCCUGACACUCAGGAGCGAAAGCGUGGGGAGCGAUCCGG